rnacentral:rRNA from 1 species
AGUGAACGCUGGCGGUAGGCCUAACACAUGCAAGUCGAACGGCAGCACAGUAAGAGCUUGCUCUUACGGGUGGCGAGUGGCGGACGGGUGAGGAAUACAUCGGAAUCUACUUUUUCGUGGGGGAUAACGUAGGGAAACUUACGCUAAUACCGCAUACGACCUACGGGUGAAAGCAGGGGAUCUUCGGACCUUGCGCGAUUGAAUGAGCCGAUGUCGGAUUAGCUAGUUGGCGGGGUAAAGGCCCACCAAGGCGACGAUCCGUAGCUGGUCUGAGAGGAUGAUCGGCCACACUGGAACUGAGACACGGUCCAGACUCCUACGGGAGGCAGCAGUGGGGAAUAUUGGACAAUGGGCGCAAGCCUGAUCCAGCCAUACCGCGUGGGUGAAGAGGGCCUUCGGGUUGUAAAGCCCUUUUGUUGGGAAAGAAAAGCAGCAGGUUAAUACCCCGCUGUUCUGACGGUACCCAAAGAAUAAGCACCGGCUAACUUCGUG